ACAGACCCGCCCCGGCAGCCCGGCCCACCCCAAAUCAUGUGUGUGUGCUGGGGGGUGGGGGCUAGUGGGGCAGAGGAUAAGCAGGCUGGAAGAGCCGACUCCUACGGCUGCGAUCCAAGAGGUGCCUGCAACAGUUGCCCCCCGACUUCUGUCGCCCCCAUGGAGGCAAACAAGUCUGGAACAGGGAAUGGGGGUCUGGGAGAGAAGAUGAAAAGACUGAGGAUCAGAGAGGUGAGCAGUAGCUUUCCCAAAGGCCCAGAGCCAAGAAGCGUUGAAGCUUAAAAGCACGCCGCGGCAGGGAAGAUCAAGCAAGCCCUGCGCCUAUCUGCAGCUUGAUCUCUCUGUACUGAGCCAUGGAGCUCCUUCUUGGAGGCGUGAAAUGCUCCCCAUCCUUCAGGAGACAACAGCAACAGCCAGCCACUCCUUGUCCAGUCAGCAAUGCUGGAAUACCUCUGCAGCUCACAGUCCAACGCCCACAGCCUUCGAGUCAGUUUCUUGAUAUUCGGCAAUGCACUGGACUCCUGAUCCCAUCAGCUCCUGGCUGAAGGUGGGCCAACCCUUCCCCAUUUCCUUCAAUUCAAACAUUUCCUCAUGUCCCUCAGUGCCAAGCCCUGUGCUGGGAGCUGAGGACCCAGAGGUGAGCUAGAUCUAAAAUCUGACCUCAAGGAGCUAACAGUCUGAGAGGAAGACUGGAGUGGAUAAAAAUACCUUGGUAAUUUAUCACUUAAUAAAUAUCCAAUAAAUGCUAUUAUGUGCCAA
rnacentral:lncRNA from 1 species